GGGGAAUAUUGCACAAUGGAGGAAACUCUGAUGCAGCGAUGCCGCGUGAGGGAAGAAGGUUUUAGGAUUGUAAACCUCUGUCUUCAGGGACGAAAAAGGACGGUACCUGAGGAGGAAGCUCCGGCUAACUACGUGCCAGCAGCCGCGGUAAUACGUAGGGAGCGAGCGUUGUCCGGAAUUACUGGGUGUAAAGGGAGCGUAGGCGGGAUCGCAAGUCAGAUGUGAAAACUAUGGGCUUAACCCAUAAACUGCAUUUGAAACUGUGGUUCUUGAGUGAAGUAGAGGUAAGCGGAAUUCCUAGUGUAGCGGUGAAAUGCGUAGAUAUUAGGAGGAACAUCAGUGGCGAAGGCGGCUUACUGGGCUUUAACUGACGCUGAGGCUCGAAAGCGUGGGGAGCAAACAGGAUUAGAUACCCUGGUAGUCCACGCUGUAAACGAUGAUUACUAGGUGUGGGGGGUCUGACCCCUUCCGUGCCGGAGUUAACACAAUAAGUAAUCCACCUGGGGAGUACGGCCGCAAGGUUGAAACUCAAAGGAAUUGACGGGGGCCCGCACAAGCAGUGGAGUAUGUGGUUUAAUUCGAAGCAACGCGAAGAACCUUACCAGGUCUUGACAUCCAACUAACGAAGUAGAGAUACAUUAGGUGCCCUUCGGGGAAAGUUGAGACAGGUGGUGCAUGGUUGUCGUCAGCUCGUGUCGUGAGAUGUUGGGUUAAGUCCCGCAACGAGCGCAACCCUUGCUAUUAGUUGCUACGCAAGAGCACUCUAAUAGGACUGCCGUUGACAAAACGGAGGAAGGUGGGGACGACGUCAAAUCAUCAUGCCCCUUAUGACCUGGGCUACACACGUACUACAAUGGAUGUUAACAGAGGGAAGCAAGACAGCGAUGUGGAGCAAACCCCUAAAAACAUUCUCAGUUCAGAUUGCAGGCUGCAACCCGCCUGCAUGAAGAUGGAAUUGCUAGUAAUCGCGGAUCAGCAUGCCGCGGUGAAUACGUUCCCG
rnacentral:rRNA from 1 species